rnacentral:tRNA from 1 species
UAGCUAAAUCAGUUGAGCGUGGCGCUAACAACGCUAAGGUCGCGGGUUCGAUUCCCGU